CGCAGAUUCCUCCUCACUUGCUCACGCUCUCUUCGCACCUAGCCCUUCUCUUGGGACUCUCCUACACCAAGAGCUAUAGACAGAAGGGGAGGUCUUUCAUCUGCUCUCAAAUCAGAAGGACCCUCUGUGCCGUUCGUAGGAGUCUCAUGUUACUCCUUUAAAACUGCCACUGGUACUGGAAAAUACUGUCAAACUCCCAAAACUGUAUUAAUAAAAAGUAUGUUUAACAAUG